rnacentral:tRNA from 1 species
GCCCCUAUAGCCCAAUGGCAGAGGCAGUCGACUUAAAAUCGACACAGUGUGGGUUCGAGUCCCACUAGGGGCAC